UAUAAUCAAAAUCAAAAUAAAAACUUCAAUUUCUCUCUUUUCUUCUUCUUCUUCCUUGUGGCAUGCCGUCGUCAGAAGUUAAACCCUCGCCGUCGGUAAAACUAGCUUCCUCUCAGAAAUUUUCAAGAGGCAAAUCUCUCCGCAUUCUCUUAAAAUCAUGGCGUUCCCAACACCUUCUCCCUCGAAACGUCGCCAAAAAACUAUGGAAAGGUAUCUUCUACUGCUUUUAUCGCUCCGACAAAUCUCUCGUUCAAGCCGACCUCAUCGAUCGCAUCGCUUCAUUUCUCUCAACAUUCCGUCAUCCUUCUCGCUCGCUUCAGUAUUUCUCCACAUUCUUCCUCACCAUGCGUCGUGAAUGGUCCGGUAUCAAUUCCGUUAGGUUACACAAAUUCUAUCUCCUUAUUCGUAGCUUUAUAUCCAACGCUUUCUCUUUACUUGAUAAGAAUUCGUGGAAUUUGGAAUUGGUUAAUCUUUUUAUGAAUUGUUUGGAUAAGUCUACUUUUUCUGCUAAAGAUAAGUUUGUUAAGGGAAAAAGUGUUAAUUAUUAUGUUGCUUCUGUUUUUCUUCAAGAGCUUAUGCCUUUUCUUCCGGUUAAGUUGAGUGUUUUAGAAGUGCUUUUUAAACCGUUUUUCUCUGCUGUCGUUAAAUUGCUUGAUAAGGUUUUGUUAGGGAAGAUUAAGAGUGGUUUUUUUGAUGUGUUGUUGAUGAAUGGGAGAAUUUUGUUGGAGGUUAAGAAAAGUGGUCGUGGUGAUGGUCAUGUUGUGAAUUUGGGAACAAUAGCGUUGGUCAUGGGUUUUUCUUCCAAGUUAUUUGAGUUGGCUUCUGAUCCGGGUUGUGUUCAGAGGAAUAGAAAGGUUUUGUUUGAAUUGAGCAAUGAGUUCUUGAAGCUGGAGAAGGAUGUUUCUAAUUCUGGGUUCGAGUUUUCCAUUCCUGACUCUGUUGAUCGGGUAGUGCUGGAUUCUGUUGACAAAGUGAAUAAGCCAAAAAAGAACAAGAGGAAGAUUAAGAAGAGUGAUGCUGAAGCAAGUUCGCAUGAUGGUGUUGCUACUGGGGUUGUAUGUAAGAAGAGAAAGAGAAUAGAGAACUCUAAAGGAGAGACAUCUCAGGGGGUUGUAUGUAAGAAGAGAAAGAGAACAGAGAACUCUAAAGGAGAGACAUCUCAGGAUUUUGAUUUGAACACUGCAGAUGUGGAAGAUGUCUCUGCAGUAGCAAAGAGUGCAGAGAAUAGUUCCAAGAAAGUAAAAUUUUCCAUGGAAAGUAACUUGGUCUGGAAGCAACACACUCCUUUACCUCCUCAGAUCUUGAGAAUUCCCCCCUCUGCUACACCCAGAGGAAGUGCACUGAAAGAGGGUUUACCCCCAGGCCCCAUCAGGGAAAUGCCUCUCCUGACCAAAAAGGGUACUAGCAGUGUGUGAUGAUUUCCGUUUUGCUCAAAAGCCUGUUUUCCCUGGAAUGAGUCAAUGUCGAGUCAAAGGUAGGGAAUGGCUUUAUAUUUUCUCCAUAUGAUUUGGGCAUGUAGAAAGAAGACCUGCAGAUUCUGUGGUAAGUAGAGUAGAUCACAUGGAGAGGAGUUAAACAACUAGAGGUAGAGGAAGACCUAGCAAAACUAUAUGAGAAGUCAUUAAGAAAGAUCUCGAGUUUAACGAUUUGGAUCGAAGCAUGGUCCUGGAUAGAACAUUAUGGCGGAAGUUGAUCCAUGUAGCCGGCCCUACUUAGUGGGAUAAGGCUUGGUUGCUGUUCUUGUAUCGUGUCUCCAUUAUAAAUAUUGGCAUCUUUGGUUGAAAAUAUUGUCAUGAGUUUUCUCUUAUUCCUCCUUAAACAUUUCCAUAAACAAAUGGAUGAUCUUUUGCCGAUUUGGGUUUGGAAUUAGAAAAUUGCUUAGUUUGCAUGAUGUGCUAAUUGUUUUUCGUUUGCCUUGAAAUUAUCAUCUAGGUUUAUCCCCACUAUGCUUUAAGAGACUAGUUUUUUUUCCAUACUAAUCAGUUUGAUGUGAACCCAUUACUACAGUUUUUCAAUUAACUUCAUUUCUUAGAAAAACACAAAAUGUCCUUAAAUUUGAUAAAAUGAUCUAAUUUCAGUGGUGAAAACAUAGGCUUUACGAGCAUUGCUGCACAGGUAUCAAGAUUGUAAAAGUUCUUAUUCGUAGAGAAGGUGACAUUCAGCAGGUUUUGUAUCUGCAUAUAUGCUUCAGAAUUAGUAUAUGUUUCUAUUUGUUUCCUUUCAUAAUGCCUAACUCAUCCCUUGAUUAUUGAGCAACAAAUAUAUGAGAAGUUUCCAAAUGAUAUCUCAGAUAGGCAUGUGCUGCUGUUGGAUCCUAUCUUAGGCACAGGUAAUUCUGCUGUUCAAGCAAUUUCUUUAAUUUUAAGGAUGUACCAGAGUCCAAUAUUAUAUUUUCUCAAUCCAUGUCAGGAAGUUAUUGCUAUCUUUAUCUCAUACGCACAUCUUGCUUUUUUCAUUAUUUUCUCUUGCCCGUCUUUUCUUGUAUCCAGUGAUUUACACUUUCUCUUGUCUUGCCAGGCACCUCAAGGUGUGCAUGUGGUCUGCAAAAGAUUUCCGAGGAUAAAUGUUUUGACAUCUAAGAUUAUUCUGUCUCUGAUUUUCUCCUGCUCAUUCAAACUCUAAUUAGUUCAAUUAAAGCCAUCUGUGAACCAAUUUCAGUUCGCAAACAUCUUGACGUAAUUUACAAUCAGACUUUUAAGUGGAAAAUUUGUUUCUGUCUCCAUCAAAAAAGUUGAAACCUUACUCCUGCGUCACAAAGCUCAUCUUGAGCAUUUUUGCAAGCAAACCCUAGCUACUGCGGCCCUCACCAUCUCUUCCACUGCAUCAAACCCUGUUACUUCGGCUCCGUUACCUGAUUCUCAGCCUCUGGUCAACCUAGCACAAUCUGCUGAAGAUUCCACUGAUUGGUCCGUAUGAAGAUUCCCACCUCAUUCCCAAGAUGAUGGGUUUGGGAAUUGAUACUCUGGAACAGAUGGUGAUGACCAGCAAGGUGGAAGCCCGUUCACAGUAAUUAUUCUCGGGAAAAACCACAAUAUUUUUUGGUUGAUCAUUAUUUAAUGAGAGAGAUUAGACUUUACUGAAUUGUGACUCUGCCGGGAUCUGCGUGCUAGUUUUAAAUCAAUUUUGAUCACAAUCCUUGUUUUUCUUUAUUUAAUGCACAUAGUUGGAAUUCUCCAAUGCAAAUUUUGUAUAAUCUUUUGUUAUUAUACCAGAAUUUUUCUUUCAAGUUAUUCUCAGCCGAUACUGAUUUAUCA